AGAUCGGAAGAGGCUCUAGUCGAUAGAAUAAUGUAGGUAAGGGUAGUCGGCAAAUUAGAUCCGUAACUUCGGGAUAAGGAUUGGCUCUGAAGAUUGAGAUAGUCGGGCUUGAUUGGGAAACAAUACUAUGGUUUAUGUGCUCGUUCUGGGUAAAUAGAGUUUCGAUCAUUUAUGGUUGUAACUUGUUCCCCGGAUAGUUGUUACGUAUCCAAUUGUGGAACUUUCUUGCUAAAAUUUUUAAGAAUACUAGUUGGGUCAAACCAGUUAGUUCUUAUUAAUUAUAACGAUUAUCAAUUAACAAUCAAUUCAGAACUGGCACGGACUUGGGGAAUCCGACUGUCUAAUUAAAACAAAGCAUUGUGAUGGCCCUAGCGGGUGUUGACACAAAGUGAUUUCUGCCCAGUGCUCUGAAUGUCAAAGUGAAGAAAUUCAAGUAAGCGCGGGUCAACGGCGGGAG